rnacentral:tRNA from 1 species
GCCACCUUAGCUCAGCUGGCCAGAGCGAUUGAUUCGUAAUCAGUAGGUCCCGAGUUCGAGUCUCGGAGGUGGCU